rnacentral:rRNA from 1 species
CUGUGAGGCAUGCUGGAGGUAUCAGAAGUGCGAAUGCUGACAUAAGUAACGAUAAAGCGGGUGAAAAGCCCGCUCGCCGGAAGACCAAGGGUUCCUGUCCAACGUUAAUCGGGGCAGGGUGAGUCGACCCCUAAGGCGAGGCCGAAAGGCGUAGUCGAUGGGAAACAGGUUAAUAUUCCUGUACUUGGUGUUACUGCGAAGGGGGGACGGAGAAGGCUAUGUUGGCCGGGCGACGGUUGUCCCGGUUUAAGCGUGUAGGCUGGUUUUCCAGGCAAAUCCGGAAAAUCAAGGCUGAGGCGUGAUGACGAGGCACUACGGUGCUGAAGCAACAAAUGCCCUGCUUCCAGGAAAAGCCUCUAAGCAUCAGGUAACAUCAAAUCGUACCCCAAACCGACACAGGUGGUCAGGUAGAGAAUACCAAGGCGCUUGAGAGAACUCGGGUGAAGGAACUAGGCAAAAUGGUGCCGUAACUUCGGGAGAAGGCACGCUGAUAUGUAGGUGAAGCGACUUGCUC